UACGGGGGGGGCAAGCGUUGUUCGGAAUUACUGGGCGUAAAGGGCGCGUAGGCGGCCUGCUAAGUCGGAUGUGAAAUCCCUCGGCUCAACCGAGGAACUGCAUCCGAUACUGGCGGGCUUGAAUCCGGGAGAGGGAUGUGGAAUUCCAGGUGUAGCGGUGAAAUGCGUAGAUAUCUGGAGGAACACCGGUGGCGAAGGCGACAUCCUGGACCGGUAUUGACGCUGAGGCGCGAAAGCCAGGGGAGCAAACGGG
rnacentral:rRNA from 1 species